rnacentral:tRNA from 1 species
GGAGAGAUGGCUCAGUGGUCAAGAGCACUGGCUGCUCUUUCAGAAGACCUAGGUUCAAUUCCUAGCACCC